CCCACGUGCCUAUACAACUUGUUCUGUUCUUGAUACGUCAAAGUGGGUUUUAUAUGAGGACAGAGACAGACUUCAGUCUCCGAAACGUCCUCUCAAUCUCACUGUUUCCCUUGCCAUGGACUUGUAACGGACAUCCGACUGCGAACCGUUCGGUCGGAACCUCGUGUCGACUGAAAUGAAGGAAGACGCUGGACUUGAACUGUCACCAGAUGCUGCGAUGAUCACAGAUAAAUUAUUAACGCAACCAAACGAUUUCAAGAGACGACAAACUAGAUCACGAUGUGAGAGCAGAGACAUUAUUUGAUGUGACUAUGUCUGUAGCUGAAUUAAAAUGAG